UUUCCACACCGGGAUUCGAACACGGGCCUUCUGGGUGAAAUCCAGAUAUCCAAGCCACUAGAUUAAGUAAGA